UCUGGUUGAUCCUGCCAGUAGUGAUAUGCUUGUUUCAAAGAUUAAGCCAUGCAUGUCUAAGUAUAAGCGAACUUAUACAGUGAAACUGCGGAUGGCUCAUUAAAACAGUUUGAAUUUAUUUGAUGAAUGUAUGAGAAUACUACUUGGAUAACCGUAGUAAUUCUAGAGCUAAUACAUGCAACGACGCCCGACCGUUUCACUACGGAAGGGCUGUAUUUAUUGGAUACCAAAACCAUCCUUCCCUCGGGAAGUUUUGUUUGAUGAUUCACAAUAACUGAUCGGAUCGCCACUGUGGUGGCGACAGGUCAUUCAACAUUCUGCCCUAUCAGCUUUCGAUGGUUGUGUAGUGGACAACCAUGGCCAUAAUGGGUAACGGAGAAUCAGGGUUCGAUUCCGGAGAAGGAGCUUGAGAAUUGGCUACUACAUCUAAGGAAGGCAGCAGGCGCGCAAAUUACCCAAUCCCGAUUCGGGGAGGUAGUGACAAAAAAUAACAAUACCGGGCCUUUUUGGGCUUGGUAAUUGGAAUGAGGGAGAGUUAAACGGACCAUCGAGUAUCCAUUGGAGGGCAAGUCUGGUGCCAGCAGCUGCGGUAAUACCAGCUCCAAUAGCGUAUAUUAAAGUUGUUGCAGUUAAAAAGCUCGUAGUUGGACUUGUGUGCGCUGUCCGCGGGUGGCCUGCGCCCAAAAGGGCGUUUCGGUUCGGCCCCGGUGGCGCCUUGAAAUCUGCAGCUGGGGGGACGUUGGCCUUAACUGGUCGGCGACCGCACGCCGGCUGCUCGGUUACUGUGAGAAAAUUAGAGUGUUCAAGGCAGGCAUUGGGUGCAAUUGAAUACAUUAGCAUGGAAUAAUAAAAUAUGGCUCCUGCCGUAUUUUGUUGGUUUUGACUGGUGGGAGUAAUGAUUGAUAGGGACGGUUGGGGGUGCUAGUAUUGAGCGGCCAGAGGUGAAAUUCAUGGAUUCGCUCAAGACUAACUUAUGCGAAAGCAUUCACCAAGGACGUCCUCUUUAAUCAAGAACGAAAGUUGGGGGAUCGAAGACGAUCAGAUACCGUCGUAGUCUCAACCAUAAACUAUGUCGACUUGGGAUCGGCGGUAGUUUUUUCAUUAAGACACUGUCGGGACCACGGGAGAAAUCAAAGUGUCUGGACUCUGGGGGAAGUAUGGUCGCAAGGCUGAAACUUGAAGGAAUUGACGGAAGGGCACCACCAGGAGUGGAGCCUGCGGCUUAAUUUGACCCAACACGGGGAAACUUACCAGGUCCAGAGAU
rnacentral:rRNA from 1 species